AGUGAACGCUGGCGGUAGGCCUAACACAUGCAAGUCGAACGGCAGCACAGUAAGAGCUUGCUCUUACGGGUGGCGAGUGGCGGACGGGUGAGGAAUGCAUCGGAAUCUACUUUUUCGUGGGGGAUAACGUAGGGAAACUUACGCUAAUACCGCAUACGACCUACGGGUGAAAGCAGGGGAUCUUCGGACCUUGCGCGAUUGAAUGAGCCGAUGUCGGAUUAGCUAGUUGGCGGGGUAAAGGCCCGCCAAGGCGACGAUCCGUAGCUGGUCUGAGAGGAUGAUCAGCCACACUGGAACUGAGACACGGUCCAGACUCCUACGGGAGGCAGCAGUGGGGAAUAUUGGACAAUGGGCGCAAGCCUGAUCCAGCCAUACCGCGUGGGUGAAGAAGGCCUUCGGGUUGUAAAGCCCUUUUGUUGGGAAAGAAAAGCAGCAGGUUAAUACCCCGCUGUUCUGACGGUACCCAAAGAAUAAGCACCGGCUAACUUCGUG
rnacentral:rRNA from 1 species